rnacentral:rRNA from 1 species
UACGUAGGGGGCGAGCGUUGUCCGAAGUUCCUGGGCGUAAAGCGCGCGUAGGCGGGUUCUUCAGUGCGGGGUGAAAGGUUCGGGCUCAACCCGAACACUGCCUUUCAUACUGGGAGCCUUGAGUAUGGGAGAGGCGAGUGGAAUGGUCGGUGUAGCGGUGAAAUGCGUAGAUAUCGAUCGGAACACCCAUGGCGAAGGCAGCUCGCUGGCCUAAAACUGACGCUGAGGCGCGAAAGCGUGGGGAGCAAACAGG